CCUACGGGUGGCAGCAGUGAGGAAUAUUGGUCCAUGGACGAGAGUCUGAACCAGCCAAGUAGCGUGAAGGAUGACGGCCCUAUGGGUUGUAAACUUCUUUUAUAUGGGAAUAAAAUGUUCCACGUGUGGGAUUUUGUAUGUACCAUAUGAAUAAGGAUCGGCUCACUCCGUGCCAGCAGCCGCGGUAAUACGUAGGAUCCGAGCGUUAUCCGGAUUUAUUGGGUUUAAAGGGAGCGUAGGUGGCUUGUUAAGUCAGUUGUGAAAGUUUGCGGCUCAACCGUAAAAUUGCAGUUGGAACUGGAAGUCGUGAGUAAAUGAGAGGGUGGCGGAAUUAGUGGUGUAGCGGGGAAAUGCUUAGAUAUCACGAAGAAAGCCGAUUGCGAAGGAAGCUCACCGGACUGCAACUGACACUGAGGCUUGAAAGUGUGGGGAUCAAACAGGAUUAGAUACCCCUGUAGUC
rnacentral:rRNA from 1 species